rnacentral:rRNA from 1 species
GACGAACGCUGGCGGCGUGCUUAACACAUGCAAGUCGAACGGAAAGGCCCUGCUUUUGUGGGGUGCUCGAGUGGCGAACGGGUGAGUAACACGUGAGUAACCUGCCCUUGACUUUGGGAUAACUUCAGGAAACUGGGGCUAAUACCGGAUAGGAGCUCCUGCUGCAUGAUGGGGGUUGGAAAGUUUUGGCGGUUGGGGAUGGACUCGCGGCUUAUCAGCUUGUUGGUGGGGUAGUGGCUUACCAAGGCUUUGACGGGUAGCCGGCCUGAGAGGGUGACCGGCCAAAUUGGAACUGCGAUACGGCCCAGACUCCUACGGGGGGCAGCAGUGGGGAAUAUUGCACAAUGGGCUGAAGCCUGAUGCAGCAACGCCGCGUGCGGGAUGACGGCCUUCGGGUUGUAAACCGCUUUCGCCUGUGACGCAGCGUGAGUGACGGUAAUGGGUAAAGAAGCACCGGCUAACUACGUG